GUCUAGCAGGCUGAAGGCAGUGAGCAUCCUGGACAGAGCAGUGCUGCAGGCCGAGACCCAGGGAGCUAAAGGUAGCUCUUUGCAGGCUACAGGGAUCUGCAGGCUGAGGCAAGGGCGAAGAGGGUUCUGGGGCCAUGGGAAAGUGGUCCAGGGAAAUCUACUGAGAAGGCAGAGGGGGUGCUGCAAGCAGUGGCCAUCUUACAGGGUCCCUGGGAUGGGACCUUGAAUAGUAGGUGGGCCUGGGUCUUCCACCCCUCUUGCCACUGAGGAAGUGGCUGAACUAAGGAACUGUGACAUUUCCCCCCUCCCCUCCAGCCCAGAAGUGGGGAGCACAGAGUGUGGCACAGCCUGGGGGCUGUGUCACUGAAGAGAACACUGUGGUCCUGGGAGUGAUGUGGGUCCCAGAGCAGAAAUUAUAGUGGCAGUGCACCACCAGAAGAGGGUGCACUGGCAAGAAGAGCUAAUUCCCAUGACAACUGGCAGGAGGUGCCAGAGUGACUGGUGUAAAUCAGGAGUAACAUUACUGAAGCAAAUGGAGUGGCAUUACUGAAAACCAAUGGUCAAGAGAGGGCAGAAGCAGAGGAGGAGGAAAAUUCCACAAGAUGCUCUCCUGGAGUUCCCACUUCCCUCUAAAUUAUUCCCCAGAGGGUCAGAGUUUAUUCUG